AGCUGAUGGUCCCCACCCCCACCACCAGAGGUGGACUGUCAGAGCCCCUGUUGGUUCCACUGGCUGUGGAUCCAGGCUGAACCCUAAGUCGGUAAUGUUCACCUCCUCUCUCCCUCCAUUCCAGGCUGCCUUCCAGCCAGGCUAGCCCAGGUCCAGAUGCAUCAGAUUUACAAGGUACCAGAUACCUCAUCUCAGCUCCUUAUUUAUCACAGCAUCCCCCAGUCCUUCUGCCACGCCGUGCCCUUCGAUUACGCUCUUACCCUGGGGUGUGGGAGGGAGCCCCUCAUGGAGGCACCGGCUCCGGCCUUAGCCUUAGCCGGGCAGCUUCAGGGAAGAGUCUGCGGCACUUGGGGUGGGAGUGAGGGGGGGCUGCUUGACGGGGAGGGCGGUGCCAGGGCGGGGAAGAGGGGCUGGUCCGUGACGAGGCACUAGAGAUUUAACUGUUUCCUGGCCUUCACAGUGUCAACGUUCUGGUACCUCGCCUGGCUACCGGGAAGGGGAAGGAGCUAAGGGGUUCUCUAUCAGUUCAAAGAGCCGGGAUGACCUCCUGCAGCUCUCAGGACCUUCUCCCCAAAUCCUGUUUAGUAAAGGAAUACUCUCUCGGCAUCAACCAAAGGACCAAAGCCCCACACACCAGGGCACAGAGCCAGCUAUAGGAGGCAAGGGCCGCAUGGGCCCUCCCCCUUCCUCUAAGAAACCAUCUGCUGCCUCUCCCCUCAGAUGGACCCAGAGAGUGACCUUCAGUCACUGCAAGAGCCGGAGACAAAGAGACUGGGGGGCCGUAAAUCUGUGUCCGUGUCUUACUUGAUCUUGAACAUUGACCUUGCGCCCUCCAGCUCAGCCUCGGCCUCCACCUCAGCUAAGUGCUCCAGGAUUAAAGGAAAGAUCUGGAGAGCUGGAGCCCCGUGAGCUUCAUACCCUUACAUCCUGUCCUCUCCUCAGUAACCCUCCCUGGGUGUGGUCAGCUCCUUCGCCCACUCACUAGCCAGCCCCAGCCCCACCCCAGCUCCAGGCUGCCAAAGGCUGCUUUUGAAGGUCAGAGAAGCCAAAAUAGUCUCUGCUCUCAGCACCCCCCCACCCCACUUUAGCUACAGCCAGAGGAGAGAAGUAGCUGAGUCACCAGUACUCUGGGGGACAGGGGGAACAGAGGGAGAAGAACCCUUGUUGGGAUCCAGGAUGCAAAGUAGCAACAUGCCAUAUCCCCAUUUGAAUAGGAGAGGCCACCGGCAUAGACACACAUGCAUUAAACCAGCUCAGUCCUGAGCAUCAAGGAGUGUACCUUCUGCAAUGUCAUCGCUCUUAUUUCACCCUGCCUACAGCCUCCUGUCUCCUCUCUGCUUUUUAGGGAUCUCUUUCAGUGUUUGGGGUGGGGGCACACCUUUAGUAGACAUUGGGACUGAGAAUAAAAUAGCAUCUUCCAACUGAGAUCAGAGCCCACCCUCGUUCUCAGCCAUACACCCCCACAGCACACCCUGGCCAUGAUUCCAGGUCACAGUUGGUUUUCCUUCCCUCCCCAUCUCUAAGGGACCAUUUGUGACAGUGAGCCCUUAAUCCCUCUCUCAUGCACUGAAAUGAUGAGAAGCCAAAAAAGAGAGGGAAAUCUGAGCAGCCCCUGAUUUCACACCCGAUGCCACUCUCUGAACCAUGCCACUAAAUGAUAAGUUAAUCUCA